CUGGUUUACCAGUCAUAA
rnacentral:snRNA from 1 species